rnacentral:rRNA from 1 species
CCUACGGGAGGCAGCAGUAGGGAAUAUUGCGCAAUGGGGGAAACCCUGAAGCAGCAACGCCGCGUGGAGGAUGAAGGUUUUCGGAUUGUAAACUCCUUUUGUUAGAGAAGAUGAUGACGGUAUCUAACGAAUAAGCACCGGCUAACUCCGUGCCAGCAGCCGCGGUAAUACGGAGGGUGCAAGCGUUACUCGGAAUCACUGGGCGUAAAGAGGGCGUAGGCGGGAUAGCAAGUCAGAUGUGAAAUACUAUGGCUUAACCAUAGAACUGCAUUUGAAACUGUUAUUCUAGAGUAUGGGAGAGGUAGGUGGAAUUCUUGGUGUAGGGGUAAAAUCCGUAGAGAUUAAGAGGAAUACUCAUUGCGAAGGCGACCUGCUAGAACAUAACUGACGCUGAUGCGCGAAAGCGUGGGGAGCAAACAGGAUUAGAUACCCGAGUAGUC